AUAUAAAAUUAAAAAACGUGUUCGAUCUAACCAAAUGCGUACAACAAUUUUCGGAUACGCCUUCGAUGUUCGAUGUAGCAAAUAUUCUUAAUCAAAGCCUACAAAUUCGAGAAAACAUCGUUACAUCUCAUUCAAGAGAUCAAAACACAAAUUUAUGAUAAAAAGUUAUGCUAUAGCUAUGCUUUUUAUCUCUUACUUUUUUUUUCACGAAUGUUGCAAAAUUGUACAAGAUCAUUCGAACGAAUCGGAAAUGUUUAAAUAUUGAGAAAAAGGAAAAUUUAUAAAAUUAUAAAAUUUAUAAAAAAAUGAAGGAAGUAAAAACAAUAUUACGUAGGAUAUGGAAUAAACGAAUAAGGAUUCUAUAAAGAAUGCAUUCGUCAUUCGUAGAGAAUCGAUCGAUCUUUUUGGACGAUGACUCGUCCAUCCAAAACGUGAUCUCGUGACCGUUAUAUUAAUCAGAUGUAUCUGCAAUGGCCGAUGUUUACGUUGUUGAUAUUUCUUGGCAGAGUGGCUUUUCGACACCGGUACAUUAUACGCAUAUUUUCUUGACACACGGAAGCACGAUAUAUCAAGGAUAUCAGGGUGUUUCUCGUGGAAUUCAGACGAUACAUAUGCAAACCAGUUGUGAAUAUCUCGUAUCACGAUUAAUUCGUGAAAUACCAACGAACCUUGUCGCUGUUCGAUAAUUUCGGUCACGGAAUCCAGUUUUCUUCUGGGUCAAGGAUAACCUUUCACGAUAUACCUACACUUUACACCUACGCUCGAGACACUGACCUGAUAUUCAUGAAAAUAACAUCUCUUUUCGCGAUAUGCAAUUUCUCAAACAGAUCGCAAUUCUUCUUCUUAACUCUAAUAUCUCUAAUAUAAUAAUUCGUUAUCCUCUACGCGAUAUUAUUCCCGAUAAACGGUCGAGGAUGCGCGUCAUCGAUCUCCAAUCCGAUACAGCGAAAGAUUACGUUGGCAAAUACGUCCGUUGGAAUUUUAUAAAUCGUUAAUGAUACUCGCGUCAGUCAGUGAUUCAAUCGACCUCCGUUCCCUAUAAAACAGCCGUCUCAACUUAACAGAUAAAGAAUACAGAGAAGCAGAAAAGAUACAAGAUAGAGGCGAUUUUAAAAAAAAUAGAAAAUUUAUUAAACAUAUCUAACGGUGCCGUUUCGUAUCAGAGACGGCUACAAGUAUUCGGCCAAGCUUUUUUUUUCAACAGUUCGGUCUCUCUAUCUAUGAAGGAGGGGCAGUAGGAGUGGAAGGAAUUCAAGGAUUUCUCGAAUCGCCAAGAUUCUCUUACUUACCUGCAGCGUUAUUUAAAAAAAAUCUCGAUUCGAGUAAUCCGCGCAACAACAAAGAGGAAAUAGGGAGAAAAAAAUAGAAAGACGGGGAUAAAAAGAAUACGUAACGUGGUCGUUGAUAACAGUUCGCCUGUCAACGUAUGGAAAUUCACCGAUUUCACGUUUCACCAUUUAUCUUUACAAAAUAUUUUUACGUUCGUUUCGGAUUGGGCAAAAGAUCGUUUCGAUAAAACUGUUGUACUCGCUGUCGCCAUUAAUUUUUCAUCUUUAUCAGUGGACAGAAUAUUCCGAUUUGAUUUUUUUUUUUCUUUUUGCAGAGGAAUUCAUUGGCGAAUCGAAUAGAAAGGCGUAUAUACCUUGGAACGAAACAUCAUAGGCGAAAAGGAGGACAACGAUCGCGUGUCGAGUUGAUGAAGGAGGAAUCGCGAUCGCGCCUUCUACUCCGUCGGAUUCAACUUUUACUUCUUUUGCCGAUUAUCGUCCCCUUAAACGGCGAUAAUAAUUCAUCGACGAUACGUUUUCGCCACCGUGUAGAUGAACUCAAUGGACCAGGCCAAAAAUGUACACUUGACCGACUGGUUGUGUCGCCCGAACGUUAUAACGGCCGAAUGGUUGCUCACCCAUUUGCAUAUCAUGUCCAGUCAUUAAGGUAGCAAAUUAGGGAGGUUGCGCCCGGUUUCGAAGCCUUCCAAGCAAGGGUUCCCUCUCGUUUGCACUCCCUGUACGAUCGUUUGGCUCGAGGAAACACAAAAAAAAAAAAAAGAA
rnacentral:lncRNA from 1 species